rnacentral:rRNA from 1 species
UACAGAGACUGCAAGCGUUAUUCGGAUUCACUGGGCGUAAAGGGUGCGCAGGCGGCCGUGUGUGUGAGGCGUGAAAGCCCGGGGCUUAACCCCGGAAUUGCACCUCAAACUACAUGGCUAGAGCAUUGGAGAGGUAGCAGAAUUCAUGGUGUAGCAGUGAAAUGCGUAGAUAUCAUGAGGAAUACCAGAGGCGAAGGCGGCUACCUGGACAAUUGCUGACGCUCAGGCACGAAAGCCGUGGGGAGCAAAAGGG